rnacentral:rRNA from 1 species
AGCUCACUAGUCGAGUGACACUGCGCCGAAAAUGUACCGGGGCUAAACAUAUUACCGAAGCUGUGGAUUGUCCUUUGGACAAUGGUAGGAGAGCGUUCUAAGGGCGUUGAAGCAUGAUCGUAAGGACAUGUGGAGCGCUUAGAAGUGAGAAUGCCGGUGUGAGUAGCGAAAGACGGGUGAGAAUCCCGUCCACCGAUUGACUAAGGUUUCCAGAGGAAGGCUCGUCCGCUCUGGGUUAGUCGGGUCCUAAGCUGAGGCCGACAGGCGUAGGCGAUGGAUAACAGGUUGAUAUUCCUGUACCACCUAUAAUCGUUUUAAUCGAUGGGGGGACGCAGUAGGAUAGGCGAAGCGUGCGAUUGGAUUGCACGUCUAAGCAGUAAGGCUGAGUAUUAGGCAAAUCCGGUACUCGUUAAGGCUGAGCUGUGAUGGGGAGAAGACAUUGUGUCUUCGAGUCGUUGAUUUCACACUGCCGAGAAAAGCCUCUAGAUAGAAAAUAGGUGCCCGUACCGCAAACCGACACAGGUAGUCAAGAUGAGAAUUCUAAGGUGAGCGAGCGAACUCUCGUUAAGGAACUCGGCAAAAUGACCCCGUAACUUCGGGAG